AGUAAAGAAAAAAUAAAACAACAAGCAACAAACUGCCAUAGUAAAUUCUAGAAAAAAACACAAAUUUUCAAAUGGUGUGCAAACAUCACCAUAUCUAACUCUUUUCUCUCCUUUAUGGGAUUACUUUUCAGCAUCUCCAAAUGAGUUCCAAAAGGGCAAUGAAUCUAGCAUUCUCCUCUACCUUGCUGCUCCUUUUGGUUGGUUUUGCAAACUCAGACAUAAACCGAGAUGCAGCAGAAUGCUUCAACAAACUCUUUCCUAUAUUUAGUUGCAGUCCCUAUGUCAAUGAUCAAGCCAAUGCCCCUACCAUAGAUUGCUGCACUGGCAUCAAAGAGGUUGAUCACAACAGCAAGAGAUGCCUCUGUCUCCUCUUCAAAAAUCAUGGUGGGGGCCCCAACUUUAACCUGCCAUUCAAACUCCCCCUUGCUCUCAAGUUAAAAGGUGCUUGUAAAACACCCGUCAAUUUUACGUACUCAGUGUGUUGAUAUUUUGCAUUUGGCACCUAAAUCUCGAGAAGCUAAAAUAUUUGAGGGAUAUGACAAAGGAGUGAGCCAAAAUAUUUUCAUCCCAGCUCCCUCUCCCAGUCCUAGUGAUGCUACUGCUAGUGCUGGUAAGGGAACAAGCACAAACACUCAAGAUAAGAACGGUGUGUGGGGAAAGAGAUGGCUGGUAGUGGAGGUUCUAUGUGUGAUUUUUCCAUUUGUUUUCAUCUCCCAUUUCCUCCUGCUAGUCUGAACCAUUAUCAAAAGGUUAAGUUUCAAAUUUCAAUAGUAGGGUGUAUUGGUAUUUAUGUAUAUUUAUUACAAAGUUUGUACGUUCUGCUAUGAAUAAUUAAUGAUAUGUCCUUGGCAAGG